rnacentral:lncRNA from 1 species
GUUAAUAGUUAAAAAAAAAAAUGGAAAUUGGUAAAAUGAAAUAACAUAUGACCUAUACCUUUAGAUCACUUGUUUUCACAAAUGGAGAUUUAUUCCACAAGCUUCCUAGGCAGACACCCACCCACACAACCAUGGGUGAUAAAUGAUAUAAAAGUUUAUUAAUUUAAAAAAUUUAGAUUUUAGGUUAUUGAUAACAGAGUCAGGAAACAAUGUGUGGAAUCUGAUAUUCUAGCCUUGGAAACCACAGAUGCCUUUCUGCUUUAACAAGGCUAUAAAGCAACUAUAAUUUCAGGAGGUCCUAACUCAGUGUACGUGGUUUACGCCCCACUAUACAAUCCAAUAAACUUCAGGCUGAGGUCUUCCAGUGCUGAGAAUUUAUUUGGCAAGCAAAUACUCAAUAAGGAGUUAGGUGGAACAGUGGAGAGAAAAAUAUUCGCGAUGGGCAAUUUGAGAUCCAAGUAGAAACGGAGUGGCUAUUGUUUAAAGGCUUAGAGACUCGGCAAAUGGUAUUACAUGGUUAAUGGUUAAAUGGUAUUGUGACAGCUUAGACAAGGUUGCAGAAGGGUUGCGUUACGUCGCAAAAUCUUCACAUCAUAUUAUUUCCGCUAUUGCUGAUAUUACUGAGUCCAGUUCCAUGAUUUGACUGAAAACGGACGAAAAAUGUUGCAUGCCUUCUUAUUCGAAAUCUGUGGAUUGCAAGGAGGUUUCACAUUGGAGAAACGCGAGCAGCAGUGUAACGAUUACAUCCGGCGCACGGUCGGACGUGAUAAGAUCGUGCUCAUGCUAGUAAGCGGUGGAGUCGAUUCCGCCGUUCGUGCUGCCCUUCUCCAUAAAGCACUUCUACAGGUGAUAACUCGUCGCGAGUGCAGGGCAUCUAUAUCCAUUCUUAUCUUUUUCUUUUUUUUUUAUUUUAUCUUUACGAAAAGAUACAAUAUGUUUGCUAAUUUACUUUAUUUACGUUAUUCAGCGACAGUUAACAAGCGUUUUAGUAAUUUACCUUGGGCUACUUGAAAUUAUUAUUACAAGUUUCAUUUAAGUUCAUGGUAAAAGUUGAAAUUCAAAGUGUAUGUCUAAUGGCACAACGGUAUAGCAUCGGAGCGGUACGUAGAAGAUUUAGGGUUCGAUUCCCUAAAGAGUUCAGUUACAUUCCAAUGUAAAAAUAAAUUCCAUUGGGAAAAUUCUGAUUUAUGAGUUACAAAAUCUCUAAGUAAAAUUAGAGUGCCUUAACCAAAGACUUGUAAAGCUCUAUUCUUCAACGUGGCUAUUGGUCGCAUAUACCGGAACAUUACAACUCAGAUGGAAAACGAACCCAUACUAUGAUGAUUAAUCCCAGUCAAUUUAAUGUUUGUUAAAAAUAAAAAAACGAUUAAUUAAUGUCACUACAUAUUAUCCAUCAUAGACACUGAAUUCCACUACAGCUGAAUGGGAUUCGAACCCAAGUUACAUCGUAUUCCAGUCCAUCGCUCUACCAUUGAGCUAUGAGAGAUACUACAUUGUAAUCUAAGUCUUCAACACAUUAAGGUAACUGUGCAAAAUUGUACAUAGGGGAUCAAAUAUCAAUGGGGGGAUAUAGGGGGGUUGCCAGAAAGGUAUCGCAUCCGACUAGCAACUCGAAGGUCCGUGGUUCGAUUCCACGUGGGUUCCUGAUGUCCUGGGCUUCCAACAUUCCCAGGGGUCUACAUUCCCAGGAGCCAGUCGGGUCGAGAAACUUCCCCAUUACGAAGUAAUGGGACGGAUAUUUUGGUAAUCUUUAAUACAAUUCUCAAUAAUAAAUUUUAAUAAAUUGUUUAUUUCGAUUUAUCGACGUGCCUGUGUUACUUAUACACUUUGCAACGGACUUUAACCAUUGUCAUCCCCAGCCGAUUUGAACCCUUAAUCUGUGGCGUAUCGUGCCGAUGCUCUACCACUGAGCUAUAAGUCAUAUUAACAUACUGUCUACAUUUUCGUGUUAAUUGAGUUAACAAAUUUGGACUUAGAAUAAUUUUUGUAGCAUGAUUCAAGACAAUUUCCUUUUAAUAUGUCUAUAAUAAAUACAUCUAAUUGAAUUGCGAAA